UGCAGUCGAACGAUGAAGCUGAAGCUUGCUCCAGUGGAUUAGUGGCGAACGGGUGAGUAACACGUGAGAAAUCUGCCCUUGACUCUGGGAUAACCCCGAGAAAUCGGAGCUAAUACCGGAUACGACACCUCCCGGCAUCGGGUGGGUGUGGAAAGAAUUUCGGUCCAGGAUGAGCUCGCGGCCUAUCAGCUUGUUGGUGAGGUAACGGCUCACCAAGGCGACGACGGGUAGCCGGCCUGAGAGGGUGACCGGCCACACUGGGACUGAGACACGGCCCAGACUCCUACGGGAGGCAGCAGUGGGGAAUAUUGCACAAUGGGCGCAAGCCUGAUGCAGCAACGCCGCGUGGGGGACGAAGGCCUUCGGGUUGUACACCUCUUUUAGCAGGGAAGAAGCGAAAGUGACGGUACCUGCAGAAAAAGCACCGGCUAACUACGUGCCAGCAGCCGCGGUAAUACGUGGGGUGCAAGCGUUGUCCGGAAUUAUUGGGCGUAAAGAGCUCGUAGGCGGUUUGUCACGUCUGCUGUGAAAAUCCAAGGCUCAACCUUGGACUUGCAGUGGGUACGGGCAGGCUAGAGUGCGGUAGGGGGAGAUGGGAAUUCCUGGUGUAGCGGUGGAAUGCGCAGAUAUCAGGAGGAACACCAAUGGCGAAGGCAGAUCUCUGGGCCGUAACUGACGCUGAGGAGCGAAAGCGUGGGGAGCGAACAGGAUUAGAUACCCUGGUAGAAGGGC
rnacentral:rRNA from 1 species